rnacentral:misc_RNA from 1 species
GAUGAAGAACGCAGCGAAAUGCGAUAAGUAAUGUGAAUUGCAGAAUUCAGUGAAUCAUCGAAUCUUUGAACGCACAUUGCGCCCCCUGGUAUUCCGGGGGGCAUGCCUGUUCGAGCGUCAUUUCACCACUCAAGCCUCGCUUGGUAUUGGGCAACGCGGUCCGCCGCGUGCCUCAAAUCGACCGGCUGGGUCUUCUGUCCCCUAAGCGUUGUGGAAACUAUUCGCUAAAGGGUGUUCGGGAGGCUACGCCGUAAAACAACCCCAUUUCUAAGGUUGACCUCGGAUUAGGUAGGGAUACCCGCUGAACUUAAGCAUAUCAAUAGGCGGAGGA